AUGCAUAGCGAAAGCUAAAGUUGUUUAUAGUUUAUUAAUUUUACUUUCCCAUAAAGAAUAGUAAAGCUGGUAAGCAGCAAAUAAAUGAUUUAUCGACUAUGUCGAUUAAAAUUCCAGGUAGAAUUAUGAUUAUGACAUUGUUUACCUGUGUGUCUUGACCAAAUUACGUGCCAGCAGUCGCGGUAAUACGUAGAAGACUAGUGUUAUUCAUCUUUAAUAGGUUUAAAGCGUACCUAGACGGUAAAUCAAGCCUUAAUCGGGACUAAUUUGCUAGAGUUAUUUGUGAGGGGGCAUUAAAGUACUAAUGGUGUAGAGAUGAAAUUUUGUCAUACCUUUUCUUGAAAAAGAAGUCAUGGCACUGGUAUAGGCGAAAGCAUCCCCUUAUGUGUUAACUGACGUUGAAAGACGAAGGCUUUGUGUCGCGAACAGGAUUAGAUACCCCAGUAGC
rnacentral:rRNA from 1 species